AAGAAAGAAGCAACACAGAUGCGCACUAUGUUUGCUACUUUGGUUGAUCCCUCUUGGAAUGGGCUGCUUCAAGGAAAGUUUGUGUCUUUAGGUACCAGACGAAUGAUGGGUUGAUUUGGUUUUGGAAACUGGACUUCUUACUGCUGACAGCUUAAAACUACUCUUUGAUUUUAUUUUAUUCUUUUUCCAAACCAUAAUGGGAAUCAUGCAAAGUCACAUUCUUUUAGUAUAGCUGGUUAUGAAUCAUAUGGUUCACCCAAUGUAUUCUAUUUCCAAUUUGUUCAAUGAAAAUUGACCUCAACACCAAAUUAGGAGUGCAUGUUGGAAACUUGCUAUUUUCUGACUUUUGUCAAAUAAAAAUCUCAUCCUAUUGAAGGUUCCUUGUUUUUUUUAAAUGAAUAUUUAAAGAACUAUUCCUUUUUCCAUUUUGUUUUUCCACUCUGACAAAUAACAAUUCAUUUUGCUAAGAUAAAAAGGAAUAAUGGAGGAGUGCUCUCUACGGGCAAAAUUGACGCUUCAUCAGACCAGGCCUUGGGCUCUGCCCUAUUCAAGAAUUCAUCAACUGCCCAACCCAACAAGAGUUGUAGCACAAUCUCUAUGGAAGCAACCACAGUAUAGACUCUGCUUUUGUCAAGAAAAGCUAUCUGUAGACUCCAUUUCUAAUGCCCAAGGGUGGCAUAAAACCCCCCUUUAAGAUUCCAACUGAGGUAGAAUGACUACUCCCAUUUCUCCUUGCAGGUCAUAUCUUGAUGGUUUUUUUAAUGGUAAUUAGAAAUC